CUGAGGAGCAACAGGGACGGGCAGAUUAACCCAAAGCACCAGGAGCCACAGUAGGCAUGUCAGCAGAUGACAAAUCAGGAGCGCAGUAAUGUCGCACUCCCCUGGGACACAGGACAGCAUGACAGAGGACGCGGGCAUCCCUAAAGGGGCUGGCACUGUGGAGUAGUGGGAAGAGCCUCUGCCUGCAGUGCUGGCAUCCCAUGUGGAUGCUGGUUCGAGUCCCGGCUGUUCCACAUUCAAUCCAGCUCUCUGCUAUCGCCUGGGAAAGCAGUGGAGGAUGGCCCAAGUCCUUGAGCUCCUGCACCCUCACAGGAGACUCGGAAGAAGCUCCUGGCUUCGGAUCGGCAUAACUCUAGCCGUUACAGCCAUCUGGGGAGUGAACCAGCAGAUGGAAGACCUCUCUUUCUCUCUACCUCUGCCUCUGCCUCUACCUCUCUGUAACUCUGCCUUUCAAAUAAAUAAAUCUUAAAAAAAAAAUUGCUGUUUUAAAAAAGGAAAGAUAACAAGGGUUGGCAAGGAUGUGGAGAAAAGGGAAUCCUGGUACACUGCUGAUAGCAAUAUAAAUUGGUGCAGCCAUUAUAGAACACAAUAUGGAAGUACCUCAAAAAAAUUAAAAAUAGAACCAUCAUAUGACCCAGCAAUCCCACAUCUGAAAUCAUAACCUCAAAGAGAUAGCUGUACUACAUUCAUUGCAGCACUUCUUUUUUUUACAACAGUCAAGAUUUGGAAAUAACUCAAAUGUCCAUUGAAAGAUGAAUGGAUAAUGAAAAUAUGGUAUACACAUCUAGUGGAAUGGUGUUCAGCCUUAAAAAAGAAAGAAAUUCUGCCAUUUGUGAUAACACAGACAGACUUGCUAAAUGAAAUAAGUCAGACACAGAAAGACAAAUACUGUGUGAUCUUAUAUAUAUAUAUAUAUAUAUAUGUAGACUCUAUGGUCAAACUCAUAGAAGAUGAGAAUAGAUGACAAGGACUGGGAGGAGGGAGAUAUGGAUAGGCAUCAGUCAAGAUGUACAAAUUUCAGCCAUGCAAGAUAAAAUACGUUCUGGAAAUCUAACAUAUAGCAUAAUGACUAUAGAUAAUAAUAGUGUACUGAAUAAUCGAAAUUGCUGAGUCAGGCCAACCAGGACCACAUACCCCUCAGCAGAUCUACUGGCUGAAUACAGACACACAGGAUAAGCCCAGGCAAAAACAACAUAGGAGCCACCCAAUCGCACAGAGUUAUGGAAAAUAGAAAAUUGUUGCUUUAAGUAUAAAUCAUGAAAAAAGACUAUUCAGGCUGGCGCCGCGGCUCAACAGGCUAAUCCUCCACCUAGCGGCGCCGGCACACUGAGUUCUGGUCUCGGUCUUAUGUCCCGGUUGCCCCUCUUCCAGGCCAGCUCUCUGCUAUGUGGAGGAUGGCCCAAGUGCUUGGGCCCUGCACCCCAUGGGAGACCAGGAGAAGCACCUGGCUCCUGCCUUCGGAUCAGCGCGGUGCGCCGGCCGCAGCACGCCAGCCACAGCAGCCAUUGGAGGGUGAACCAACGGCAAAGGAAGACCUUUCUCUCUGUCUCUCUCUCUCUCACUGUCCACUCUGCCUGUCAAAAAAACAAAAAACAAAAA